rnacentral:rRNA from 1 species
UACGUAGGGUGCGAGCGUUGUCCGGAAUUAUUGGGCGUAAAGAGCUCGUAGGCGGCUUGUCGCGUCGGAUGUGAAAGCCCCGGGGCUUAACCCCGGGUCUGCAUUCGAUACGGGCAGGCUGGAGUGCGGUAGGGGAGAUCGGAAUUCCUGGUGUAGCGGUGAAAUGCGCAGAUAUCGGGAGGAACACCAGUGGCGAAGGCGGCACUCUGGGCCAGUACUGACACUGAGGAGCGAAAGCGUGGGGAGCGAACAGG